rnacentral:rRNA from 1 species
GACAGAGGCCCCGAGCGUUAGGCGGAAUCACUGGGCUUAAAGCGUGUGUAGGCGGACCGUUAAGUGCAUCGGUGAAAUCCCACGGCUCACCCGUGGAACGGCUGGGCAUACUGGCGGUCUUGGGCCACUUAGGGGCGACCGGAACAAGCGGUGGAGCGGUGAAAUGCGUAGAUAUUGGGAAGAACACCUGAGGCGAAGGCGGGUUGCUGGGCUGACACUGACGCUGAGGCGCGAAAGCCAGGGGAGCGAACGGG